GAUGAACGCUAGCGGCAGGCUUAACACAUGCAAGUCGAGGGGUAUUGGUUUUCGGACCAAGAGACCGGCGCACGGGUGCGCAACGCGUAUGCAAUCUACCUUUUGCAGAGGGAUAGCCCCAGAGAAAUUUGGAUUAAUACCUCAUAGUAUAGUACUUUGGCAUCAAGGAACUAUUAAAGUCACAACGGCAAAGAUGAGCAUGCGUCCCAUUAGCUAGUUGGUAAGGUAACGGCUUACCAAGGCUACGAUGGGUAGGGGUCCUGAGAGGGAGAUCCCCCACACUGGUACUGAGACACGGACCAGACUCCUACGGGAGGCAGCAGUGAGGAAUAUUGGACAAUGGGCGCAAGCCUGAUCCAGCCAUGCCGCGUGCAGGAUGACGGUCCUAUGGAUUGUAAACUGCUUUUAUACAGGAAGAAACACUCCGACGUGUCGGAGCUUGACGGUACUGUAAGAAUAAGGAUCGGCUAACUCCGUGCCAGCAGCCG
rnacentral:rRNA from 1 species